rnacentral:lncRNA from 1 species
GGAACAUUAGUAUUUAUUAGUAUUAAUAAGAUAGUGUUUUAGAAACAUGACAAUACUGGACACUUGGAUCUUGCUGGAGGUGUUCAAAUUUCACAAACUGUUGAGAUUUCCAGGAGGCCAGAUCAUUAGGCAGAGUUUUCAGUGGCAAAGGGAUAAUUGUUUAUGGGUUUAGAAAUUCCCUCAUCAUUAAAAAGUACAAAAUGAAGUCACUACCUUAGUCAGUACACAGGUUUUGGUUAUCUCUAACAAAGUUAAACUAUCAAUUCUCAGAAUGUGACUUGGCUUUUAAAUGCCAAAUCAUUACCCUCACUGUGUUCAUUAAUUAACUACAUUAUUUUAUAGUAAAUGGUUGGCUAAGUUUUAAGGUUUACUUACAUGAUAUAGUGCUGUGUAUAUUUCUGAUGUGUAUGGGCACAAAUAACUGGAGAUAAGCCCUAGUAGUCUGGUCAGAAAAUCUUAAAAACGAAAUUGCUUGAAUUUCGUGAUGAAACAAAAUAGCAAAUAAAUAUGAGUCACAGUGCAAAUUUCAAAAUCUAUUAGCUGACAUGGUUUUUAAUUUUGUUUUCUUUUUUACUAGAAGAUACAUAUUUUAUGAAGUUACAGUAUGUCUCCAAAUUAUUGCUUGAAGUAGUCAUCCUUGAAAACUUUCUCUAAAUGCUUCAUUAAUGAUAGAUCUACCACCUGUCUCCUCAUCCGAAGUCCUUCCUUCCUGGCAACGCCUGCAAUUAAACACUUCUAGCAAGCUAUUGAAAAUGAACAAACUAUUAUUUUUACUCCAGUGUGAAGAAUCUUGAGGUCCAUUCACAAUUGCUGAAUAAGAAGAAACUGGCAAAUUAGGACUAUACUGUCUGAAUUUAUUCAAUGAGCUCAGUACAGCAUUUUCCAGGUUCUCCUUUAUUUUUCUCCCUAGAAAGCCUGCCUUAUCCUGUAAUUUGAACCAUGCAAUCAUUUGUCUAUGCUUCAUUUCUAUCUACUGAAAGGCUGAGCUAAGUUAUUUUCUACUUUAUGGUCAGUGUUCAAGUAAGUUCUUUUCCGAUUUGAGUCCUAACUCUAUCACUCAUUUUCACUUAGAAGCUAUUUGAAUAAAAAAGUUUUUUGAAAUCUGAGUUGUGGUUUC